GGCUCAAUGGUCUAGAGGUAAGAUACUUGCUUUGGGUGUUUCCAGUUGCAAGGGAUCCCGGGUUCGAAUCCCGGUUGAGCCC